GGUUUAUCCAGGGCUAAGUACAGAGAGGAAUAUAGAAGGGCUGUUGACUGAUCUUGUGUGGUGCCCCCAUGGCUCAACAGACUGAUUGAUAGAAAAUAAUACCAGGGUUAUGUUCCUUUCACUGUUGAGUUCCAGGAUGAAGAAUGAAAGACAGAGAGCAAUGUGAAGACAUCAAAGAAUGUGCAGGUCUGCCAUGAAAUGGUUUAUCCAGGGCUAAGUACAGAGAGGAAUAUAGAAGGGCUGUUGACAGAUCUUGUGUGGUGCCCCCAUGGUUCAACAGACUGAUUGAUAGAAAAUAAUACCAGGGUUAUGGUCCUUUCACUGUUGAGUUCCAGGAUGAAGAAUGAAAGACAGAGAGCAAUGUGAAGACAUCAAAGAAUGUGCAGGUCUGCCAUGAAAUGGUUCAUCCAGGGCUAAGUACAGAGAGGAAUAUAGAAGGGCUGUUGACAGAUCUUGUGUGGUGCC